rnacentral:misc_RNA from 1 species
GUAAAAACCCGCAGAUUUUUGUCAUUUCACUUUAUCUUGCUAACACACUAGAUAAGUCUUUGUAUACUCCCUCACAUCGUCCUGCAAUUGAGGCCGAUAAUAACCUUGUUUUAACAAAGCUAAUGUGUGUUGCUAUCCUGGAUUACUCGCCCAUAAACUGUCAUGACAUUCUCAAAGUAAUAGUCUUCUUAAGUUGCCCGCCUUUGGAACAUACACUCUAUUCUUUGAGUCAUCAAGUGAUUGUCCUCUAGCCAAAACUGUCUAGGCUUUCCCUCUUAUGCUAACUUUAUUAGAGCUAUGGCUUAGGGGUCCUUUAUCAAGUUAUCGUAAAUUUGUUUUCGCAAUGUGGUAGCUACUCUAUUACUUGACAAUUGCGCUAUCUGCUUAUGGGUUGACACAUUUGACUUUCUACUCAAAGUAUCCACAACUCGAUUCGAGCUCCUCGGUUUAUACUCAAAUUUGAAGUCAAACUUGGUUAGACAUUCUUGUCAUCUUGCUUGUUUAGGUGUCAAUUUUGGCUGGAACAGAAAGUGAUUCAUUGUUGUAUUGUCUGUCUUCACUACAAACUUUGACCCCAACAUCUAAUGUCUCAAUGUGCGAAAAUAAUGCACUACUGCUAGCAAGUCUUUCUCUUGAGCUGUGUAUCGAAUCUCUCUCUCUCUUUCAACUUUCAGUUUUCAAAAGCAAUCGAGUGGUUUUCUUGCAUCAAUACUCCUCUCAACGCUAUAUCAGAAGCAUCAAUUUGGACUUCAAGGGGUUUUAUAAUGUCUGAGAGAACUAGCACCGGCUUAACUACCAUCAUCUGUUUUAAGUUAUCGAAGGCUGCUUGGCACUCAUUAGUCCAUUGCCAUUUGUUUCCCUUCUUAAAUAAUUAUGUAAGGGGGCAUAUCCUUUAAGAGUAGUCCCGCACAAAUCGCCUAUAAUAAUUUGCUAAUCUAAGAAUGAUCUCAAUUUAGUUAUGCUUUUAGGUAUUGCUUAUUCCUGGAUUACUUUAACCUUGGCUUGGUCCAUGUAGAUUCUGCCCUGUUCAAUCACAUGGCCUAAGAACUUGAUUCGGGUGUAGGCGAAAGCACAUUUCUCCUUCUUUUUAAAGAGUUUGUUCUCCCUCAACUUUCAAGAAAAAGCAGAGAUAUUUCUUGUGUUCUUCCAAUGUAGAACUAUACACCACAAUUUCAUCCAGAUAGACCACCACAAAUUUGUCGAGGUAAUUAUGGAAUACAUGAUUCAUUAGAGUGCAAAAAAGUAGUUGGAGCAUUUGUUAGUCCAAAAGGCAUACAAAAAAUUCAAAGGCACCGUACCGUGUCACACGUGGUCUUGAUGUAAGAAAACCACUCAAUUGCUUUUGAGAGCCGAAAGUUAAAAGAGGCAGAGAUUUGAUAUCCAACUUAAGAGAAAGAAUUGCUAGCGGUAGUACACUAUAUUCGCACAGGGAGACAUUAUUUGUUGAGAUCAAAUUUUGUAGUGAAGACAAACAAUACAACAGUCAGUCACUUUCUGUCCCAGCUAAAAUUGACACGUAAACAAGUAAAAUGGUAGAAAUGUCGAGUUUGACUUUGAAUUUGACUAUAAACAGGAGAGCUUGAAUCGAGUUAUGAAUGCUUUGAUUAGGAAGUCAGACGUGUCAACUCAUAAGCAAAUAGCGCUAUUAUCAAGCAGUAGGGUAGUUACCGCAUUGUGAGAACAAAUUCGAGAUAACUUGAAGGAGGACUCCUAGGCCGCAGCUUUAAUGAAGUUAGCAGAAGAGGGGUAGACUAGACAGUUUUGGUUAGAGGACAAUCUUCUGAAUGAAAAUUCAUCCAUUUUUUCAUGUCAGUAGAUUAAAGCUAUAUCAUGCAGAUGGGACAAAUCCAAGUCGCAGUAGAUCUUCUAGACCAGCUUUCACCUGCACGCCACCAGCAAUUGUACUUAGUAAUAAUAUGUAUGUUCUUGAUCUGCUAAACUUUCCUAAAAUAUCUAAAAUCCUUUUUGGGUCCAUUCCAAUUGCACGCUUUAGGUUUGAAAUUUCAGCAAGCAACCCCAUAAAUAAACGGCACUGUCUCUGUUAAGAUAUUAGUAAAGUGACAUUUACGGGCCCACAAAAUAUUUAAAAUAUUGUCUUUAAAAACUUAAAUCAUUGCAAAAAUUAAAAAAUAAAGUCCAAAAUUUUAAAAUUUAAAAAAAAAAUCUAUUUUCAGUAAAAAUAAAAAAAACCCAAAAUAACUUCCUUGUUUAUGUUUCUCAUCAUGAAAGUGCAAAAUAUGCAAUGGCCUCUUCAUCUUGUUUUUCUCAAAUAUUUUACAACAAAUAUUGAAUCAUCACCUCCUAUGGAUCUGCAAUUAAAAAAAUUAAAAGAGAAAUUAAAUUCAAAGAAAAAGAUAAGAAGAAUUCCCACUGGGUCUGCAAUGGUUGUUCUUCUACUCAAAUCCAAGUCCUAGGUCUACAUUCUAUAAUAGCUAAAUAUACUUAGCAACUGAAGAACCUGCUGCUUACACUACACAGUCAUGGAUGGAUCCUGCUAGUACUUGGAACUCUACCUGCACACAUUGAAAACAAAAAUGUUCUUGAUUAAUAUACAUCAGCAGAAAACCAGUGGUUGAUCACCUGGGGAUGAUUCUCUUCAACAAGAAAGGCUUCUAUAUAUACCAAUAAGUGCAAGACAAAUUUCAUGCUUAAGAGGAUCAAAUUCCACUUUUCAAUUCCUGCAAAGCAUAUAUGACACUGCUUAUAUCCUUUAAAGACAUAAUUGGUUAGAGCAUCCCACUUUAGGUUCCUGCUUAACACAUUUGCCACUGUUCAUAUCCCUUCCCAUAAAGAUUCUUUUCUUCAAGAGUCUACUAGUAGGAAACUGAAUAAAUAAUUUGGUAGCCUUUGAAGACAUACACGUUUAGCAAGCUUCAAGAAGCUACAAAAUUUUGGAAUACUGGUAACUAACAUUAAAAUGCUGAAUGCACCCCAAGAAAUCUUUAGCCUGAGGAAAGGGAACCCAUUGUGUUACCCAAGCUUUAGUUAAGCACAAAAAAAAAAUAACUAAAAAAAAAGCUCCAUCCAAGACAAUAAUGAAAAGUGAAAUUGAGUUAUCAAAACUAUUCAUAAUAUCAUCAGCUCUGCACUGUACAUUUAAACAAAAAUCUAUUAAAUUAAACCAUAAAAAAUAGUACUCUUAAGAUAAUAAUGACAAGUUAAAAAAGCUACUAAUUCAAGCUUUGCCGGUUUACCAAUAAGGGACUCAAACAGAAAACAUCACGAAAUGGAAAUCCAUAGGCUUAAGAUUCACAUUGCAUGCUAUGUGUUUCCUAAUCCAGAAUGGCAGAUUUAUCAUCAAAACCAAAGCCAAGCUCUGUAAGCCUCAUUUUUCCAUGAAGGAUAUCCAACAAUUGAGGCACCUGAUCUUGAUACUUGAUCACAAACCUU